CCUCUUAAUUGCUUCAUUACAGAUUCGAAGAAAGCAUCCAAUGUAAGCCAAGAAUAAGCCAAGAAUUCUUCUUAGAAACUUCGGCUGUAAAGCCUGUAUUCAUCCAAGUCGGCGUGCGAAUAUUUGUAGAAAAAGAUGAAGGAGAGUGGGAUUGCAGAAGAAUUGGAAUUGGCAAAGAAGAGAUGCUGGGUCGUCAUAGAUAGAACACCGAGAUUGCCUCUCAUCGACUCAUGCAGGAGCACUCUCCUUAGACUCGCCCAGUCCGAGCUCAAUUUCCUCUCCCGGUGUCCCACUCGCUGUUCCACACGCCUCAGUUCAAAUAUUGGGCACCUCGAAGCAAUCGUUCACAUUCUCCAGCAGCCAUGUCUAACCGGUGUUUCCAGAGUUUGCAAGCCAAUACCUGUAUCAUUUACAGAUUGGAAUGGGUUGAAAACCAAUUCUUGUUCUAAAGGCGUCCAUGUUGAUAUAGUUUGUACUCUCAAUAGGCAACCUGUGUGGAUUAUUGUAUCUGAUAGGAACCCAAGGUACAUUCCUUGGGAUAGAUGUCAAAAGAGUAAGGGCUUGAGAUUGCGAGUUGAAGAAGUCCUUGCUGCAGCUCGGUCUUCAAUGACAUUGAAACCUUACUCGAUCAUUCUUUUCUUCUCGAAUGGUCUUGGAAACUUUGUUAGAGAGAAACUCAGAGAAGAAUUUGGGGCAUCUGAGAUUGAAUUGGAGUUCUCCGUUUUUGAUUUUGACUUCUCUGAGGAUUUGGAUGGUGAGUGGAUAAAUGUGCUUGCAAGAUCGUACCAAGAUGCAUGUGUGCUUGAAAUAAAGGUUGAUGAUAUUGGUGAUAUCAUUUCAAGUCCUGGAUAUGAUUUGAAAGGGGCAAGUGUUGCUGCAGUCACACCAAGGCUUUCAGGAGAGCUAGCGGAGAGAAGUGUGGGUGAUCCUUUUUGUUCACUCAUUUCGAGGAUGAAAUACUGCCCUUUUGAAGUUAAAAAUUUGGAAUAUUCUGAAAUGAAGGAGCUGUUAAGUGAAGUUGAUCUUAUAAAUUUUGAUACAACAGCAUUGAUUGCACUUGUAUCAGGGAUCAGUAAUGGUGGUACUGAGAAACUUUUGGGUACUCCAGAGAGUGCAUUGAGACAGCGGUUUAAGGGAAACUUUGAGUUUGUGAUUGGACAGGUGAUGUCUGAAAUUGAGAAUCCAAUUCAUGUGGAACUGGGUGGUGUAAUAUCUGGAAGGAGAGGCAUAAUAUGUGAAAGUGUUCAUUCAGAGUUCAUGGAUUUAGUACUGAUGUGUGGAGGGCCUGAUGAGAAGUUCAGAGCCAAUCAAUUACUCAAGUGUCUGAUGCUAGUGCCGGAUAGUCCUUCACAACGUGUUAUGGGUCUGCCAACUACAAGAAAGCUGGCAUUGAAGAACAAGGUAGUUUUUGGCACCGGUGAUUACUGGCUUGCUCCAACCUUAACUGCAAAUAUGGCAUUUGUUAGAGCAAUUUCACAGACCGGAAUGUCCCUGUUUACCAUUGAGCAUAGACCACGAGCUUUAACUGGCGAUUAAUCUCAUACAUGUUAAGACAUGCUUCCAUAAAUAUCCAUUGCAGGCACUAAUGUUCAUAGCACUAUGUUGCUGCAAGAUCCCAAUGCUGUUGGAAUAAGAGUUCCGUAUGGCACUAUGGCAUAGUCUCAAACAGGACAGGGUGGUUCAUACUUCAUACUGCCAAAUCCUAUUUACCUGGCAGUGAUGCCAAGCUCAAACGAGCCUUCUGCUCCCUGGGCUUUGUGCCUUUGCAUCAGGCUUAAGCUAAUCGAGACAACUAAGGUUUAGUACACUGAUCUUUGGAAACUUUACUGCUAGGGUUUUACUUAAAACUGGGGUGUGGAAUCAAGCAAAACCAUAACCAGAGGUCCAGAAACUAAUCAAUUGUAGCGAGUAUUUUUCAAACAAGAAUGUGAAAAUUAUGAAUAUAGGAUAUUAUUAAUUUAUUCACUUAUUACAGUUCUAAAUAUGAAUUAUUAGUUUAUUUGCAAUAUAGUAAAAUGAAUUUUGCGGCCAAAUUUGAAUUCUGCAUUGAUAUACAAAGACACAGAGUUCAAUUGAUUAACACAAAAAAGUAUGGACGACUAUCUUAAUAAAGACAACUUUUCAUUUCAUUCAAAAACAAAAAAAAAAUAAGUUUCCAUUUAUGGAAAAUCCGUUUGCUUUUCUACAAUAAGUUACCAAUCAAUUGAAUCUGUAUUUCGAUUGAGUAUGUAUUGAGGGGGCCCCAAAUGUCAAUUUUCUGUUUUACUAAACUUCUACAAGUAAUGUAUUUUAUGAAUCAGUGGGGUCCAAAAAGGAUGUUUUGUUAACCCACUUAGGUAUGUUGAUUGAGAAAAUUGACACUGCCAUUGCUACCUUUUUAUUUUUAUUUUUAUUUUUUUGAGAAAAUGACAAUGUCUGAUUUGAUUUCGACAACCACCUCGGUAUUUUUCUGAUGGAUACCAUACUCAUGUCAUGGAAUACCUUUUCGAUUAGGGUUCCAAUUUCCAGUAAUUUCUUUAUAGUUUUCUUUAAGUCUUUGUUGGAAUGUUUUUAAUAAUAUUUAUUUUUACCGUUGCUUUCCUUCACAUAAAUGGCAGAUUCAAUGCCAUCGAUAUUGAUAUAUUCAAGUUGUUGUUAACGGGCAUGUUACCGUUCUUUUUUAAUGUUGGCUUUGAAGUUUAUUAAGAGGGUUAUUUAAGUUGGUUGCUUUUAUUAUUUUUCCCGUUUGUGUCCAGGACGUUUUGGUUUUUUGUCCAAUAAGUAAUAUAUAUGUUAGUUUAUUUGGUUGUUACUGGACGUACGAGUCUGAGAAAAAAAAUAUAUUUUGGAUAAGUGAGAUAAGGAAAAUAAGCUUAGUGAGUUUAUAUUUUUUAGAGUAUUUCCAAAGGAAAAAAAAAAAAAAAAAGGUGUUCCUUUGGUGGAGUUUUGGGCUCAACCACUUGUGCAGAGUUGGUUCGGGCUGUACGACAAUCAGUUGGGCUGUUGUAUUCUGGAUAAAUCAAGUCAAGAGAAAUUCUGCUAAACCGGUUGAUAUAAGAUUUUGUACACUGCAGAGGGUUUGAAUUUCCUUAAAGAAAGCGAGAUUUUUGUAUCUCAGUUCAAACUGGCUUCGUUUUAAUUUUAAUUUUAUUGUAAUUUUUAUUACAUUAUUAUGUAAUUUCACCAACAAUCUUCAACCAUUAUAUUUAAAUUUAAUUAUUUAAGGUAAUGUAAGAGAGGCUGAGGUGUAAGAUCUGAACCAUUUUUUGGGAGAUUUGAAGAACUUCAAUUUGCAGAUACAUACCCAGAAAAGUCUAUAGAUCUUGAAUGAUAGUUUCUUCUCAAUUACCAGGUCGAUGAAAAUUUUAGAUUGGAAAAUGAAGAUCAAAGGAAACACUCGUAGUAUGUGUCAUAUUGUUAUUAAAUACAACGCAAUUGAAUAGUGAUAUGUAUGACGGAAAAAGAAUCAAGUUUCCCAUCCAAAACGUGGGAGACACAGCAAGUUGUGGAAAGACAAAUAACUCAAAAUCUAUAGUGAUGAAUUCAAAGCUUCAACCUGAACCUACAAUCGCUGGCUUUAAUGCUGAUGGAAUUAUUAGCAGAUAAACUAUCCACGACCAACAAGCAUUCCCCCAAGAUCCUGACCUUUUUGAGCUUCAGCUUCCCAAGUUUGAUUGCCACCGGUGCAUCAACCUUAAGAUCCAAAGGAAUUCUUCCAGUUUGUUGUUGUUCCUGGAUUGCAGUCAUCAAAGUGCUACCAUAUUGCGUUUGGCCAGUUAAGGCCAGAUGCAGUACUGUCUUGUUUUGAUGUCCCUGAUAGAACUUUGGUCGUGAUCUUCACAUCGAAUUCUGCGUAUAGGGACAUGUCAAUGUUGAGCCCUAAACUGCUUAUCUUCAAGCUAUCAACUGAGUAUGACGGAAGCUUUGGUUGGAAGACUAGGUAUAGAAUUCCAGCAGUGGCUCCGACUAUAACUAGUAGGAGAACAAGGAGGCUAAUUGUCCAACAUAUGCAUUUGCAACAACUACUACUCUUUGCUGGCCUUGAAUGGAAUUGGAUCACCGGAACAGAAUGCUUUAACAGAGGGGGACGCCAAACGGGACUACCUUUCUCUGAUAUCGACGAGCCAUGAGGCACCAAGGGAGCUGUUGGUGGGGCUUCCACGCCCACCACUGGAUGGAUUCUUUGGUGCUCUGCCAUUGGUAUGUAUAUAUUUUCUUCUUGAGCUCAACAAAUAUGCACCUCUUCCACAGUGAUAGAACCCACCCUUUUUCUUUCUGCAACUAAAUUUCAUGUCCAACAGAAGCCUUGUAAAGUGUCUGCAAUCUGUACUGUUUUAUAGAUGGAUUAGUUGGUCUUCCAAAGUUGACUUUUUUUGUUUUUC